rnacentral:rRNA from 1 species
GAUGAACGCUGGCGGCGUGCCUAAUACAUGCAGGUCGAGCGAACAGACGAGGAGCUUGCUCCUCUGACGUUAGCGGCGGACGGGUGAGUAACACGUGGAUAACCUACCUAUAAGACUGGGAUAACUUCGGGAAACCGGAGCUAAUACCGGAUAAUAUAUUGAACCGCAUGGUUCAAUAGUGAAGGACGGUUUUGCUGUCACUUAUAGAUGGAUCCGCGCCGCAUUAGCUAGUUGGUAAGGUAACGGCUUACCAAGGCAACGAUGCGUAGCCGACCUGAGAGGGUGAUCGGCCACACUGGAACUGAGACACGGUCCAGACUCCUACGGGAGGCAGCAGUAGGGAAUCUUCCGCAAUGGGCGAAAGCCUGACGGAGCAACGCCGCGUGAGUGAUGAAGGUCUUCGGAUCGUAAAACUCUGUUAUUAGGGAAGAACAAAUGUGUAAGUAACUAUGCACGUCUUGACGGUACCUAAUCAGAAAGCCACGGCUAACUACGUG